rnacentral:rRNA from 1 species
AAUGAACGCUGGCGGCAGGCCUAACACAUGCAAGUCGAACGAGUGGCGGACGGGUGAGUAAUGUCGGGGAAACUGCAUGAUGUAGGGGGAUAACUACGGGAAAAGGUAGCUAAUACCGCAUACGACCGGAUGUGCACAGAGGUGAUUAGCUAGGAGGUGGGGGAAAGUCUCACCUAGGCGACGAUCCCUAGCUGGUCUGAGCGGAUGACCAGCCAAACUGGAACUGGUACACGGUCCAGAUUCUUCCGGGAGGCAGCAGUGGGGAAUAUUGCACAAUGGGCGCAAGCCUGAUGCAGCCCUGCCGCGUGUAUGAAGAAGGCCUUUGGGUUGUAAAGUACUUUCAUCGGGGAGGCGUUACCCGCCGAAGAAGCCCCGGCUAACUCCGUGCCAGCAGCCGCGGUAAUUC